GCUCAACCUCGGGCUUGCAGUGGGUACGGGCAGACUAGAGUGCGGUAGGGGAGAUUGGAAUUCCUGGUGUAGCGGUGGAAUGCGCAGAUAUCAGGAGGAACACCGAUGGCGAAGGCAGAUCUCUGGGCCGUUACUGACGCUGAGGAGCGAAAGCGUGGGGAGCAAACAGGCUUAGAUACCCUGGUAGUCCACGCCGUAAACGUUGGGAACUAGAUGUGGGGACCAUUCCACGGUCUCCGUGUCGUAGCUAACGCAUUAAGUUCCCCGCCUGGGGAGUACGGCCGCAAGGCUAAAACUCAAAGGAAUUGACGGGGGCCCGCACAAGCGGCGGAGCAUGCGGAUUAAUUCGAUGCAACGCGAAGAACCUUACCAAGGCUUGACAUAUACGAGAACGCACUGGAGACAGUGAACUCUUUGGACACUCGUAAACAGGUGGUGCAUGGUUGUCGUCAGCUCGUGUCGUGAGAUGUUGGGUUAAGUCCCGCAACGAGCGCAACCCUCGUCCUAUGUUGCCAGCACGUCAUGGUGGGAACUCAUGGGAUACUGCCGGGGUCAACUCGGAGGAAGGUGGGGAUGAGGUCAAAUCAUCAUGCCCCUUAUGUCUUGGGCUUCACGCAUGCUACAAUGG
rnacentral:rRNA from 1 species